GAAGGUAUAGCUCCGUGGUAGAGUGCCUGCUUAGCAUGCAGAUAGGUCCUGGGUUCAAUCCCAGUAUCUCCA
rnacentral:tRNA from 1 species